rnacentral:tRNA from 1 species
UCCCUGAUGGUCCAGUGGUUAAGACUUGGAGUUUUCACUGCCGUGGGCUCGGGUUUAAGCCCUGGUUGGGGAA